rnacentral:rRNA from 1 species
GACGAACGCUGGCGGCGUGCCUAAUACAUGCAAGUAGAACGCUGAAGAGAGGAGCUUGCUCUUCUUGGAUGAGUUGCGAACGGGUGAGUAACGCGUAGGUAACCUGCCUGGUAGCGGGGGAUAACUAUUGGAAACGAUAGCUAAUACCGCAUGAAAUUGCUUAUCGCAUGAUAAUUGAUUGAAAGAUGCAAUUGCAUCACUACCAGAUGGACCUGCGUUGUAUUAGCUAGUUGGUGAGGUAACGGCUCACCAAGGCGACGAUACAUAGCCGACCUGAGAGGGUGAUCGGCCACACUGGGACUGAGACACGGCCCAGACUCCUACGGGAGGCAGCAGUAGGGAAUCUUCGGCAAUGGGGGGAACCCUGACCGAGCAACGCCGCGUGAGUGAAGAAGGUUUUCGGAUCGUAAAGCUCGGUUGUAAGAGAAGAACGGGUGUGAGAGUGGAAAGUUCACACUGUGACGGUAUCUGACCAGAAAGGGACGGCUAACUACGUG